rnacentral:tRNA from 1 species
CUUUUGUAGUUUAAUUUAAAACAUCACUCUUUCAAUGUGAAAAUGAUUCCUCCAAAAGU